UUAUAAGAGUCAGCAGCAGCCGCGGGAAUACGUAGGGUGCAAGCGUUAAUCGGAAUUACUGGGCGUAAAGCGUGCGCAGGCGGUUAUAUAAGACAGAUGUGAAAUCCCCGGGCUCAACCUGGGAACUGCAUUUGUGACUGUAUAGCUAGAGUACGGCAGAGGGGGAUGGAAUUCCGCGUGUAGCAGUGAAAUGCGUAGAUAUGCGGAGGAACACCGAUGGCGAAGGCAAUCCCCUGGGCCUGUACUGACGCUCAUGCACGAAAGCGUGGGGAGCAAACAGGAUUAGAUACCCGCGUAGUCCCUGUCUCUUAUAC
rnacentral:rRNA from 1 species